rnacentral:rRNA from 1 species
UAGCCGUAAACGAUACUCGCUAGGUGUCGGCCACGGUGCGACCGUUGUCGGUGCCGUAGGGAAGCCGUGAAGCGAGCCACCUGGGAAGUACGGCCGCAAGGCUGAAACUUAAAGGAAUUGGCGGGGGAGCACCACAACGGGUGGAGCUUGCGGUUUAAUUUGGAUUCAACGCCGGAAAUCUUACCGGGACCGACAGCAACAUGAAGGCCCAGGCUGAAGACUUUGCCGGAUUAGCUGAGAGGAGGUGCAUGGCGUAGUCGUGU